rnacentral:rRNA from 1 species
AGUGAACGCUGGCGGCAGGCCUAACACAUGCAAGUCGAGCGGCAGCGCGGGGGCAACCCUGGCGGCGAGCGGCGGACGGGUGAGGAAUUCGUCGGAAUCUGCCUUUUUGUGGGGGAUAACGAAGGGAAACAUACGCUAAUACCACAUACGUCCUACGGGAGAAAGUGGGGGACCGCAAGGCCUCACGCAGAAAGAUGAGCCGACGACCGAUUAGCUAGUUGGUGGGGUAAAGGCCCACCAAGGCGACGAUCGGUAGCUGGUCUGAGAGGAUGAUAAGCCACACUGGGACUUAGACACGGCCCAGACUCCUACGGGAGGCAGCAGUGGGGAAUAUUGGACAAUGGGCGCAAGCCUGAUCCAGCCAUGCCGCGUGUGUGAAGAAGGCCUUCGGGUUGUAAAGCACUUUUGUCCGGAAAGAAAUCCCUGGAGCUAAUACCUUCGGGGGAUGACGGUACCGGAAGAAUAAGCACCGGCUAACUUCGUG